rnacentral:rRNA from 1 species
CCUACGGGAGGCAGCAGUGAGGAAUAUUGGUCAAUGGGCGCGAGCCUGAACCAGCCAAGUCGCGUGAGGGAUGACGGUCCUACGGAUUGUAAACCUCUUUUGCCGGGGAGCAGGCGUUCUUUCGUGAACGCGCGUCGAGAGUACCUGGAGAAAAAGCAUCGGCUAACUCCGUGCCAGCAGCCGCGGUAGAACGGAGGAUGCGAGCGUUAUCGGGAUUUAUUGGGUUUAAAGGGUGCGUAGGCGGGAGGCCAGGUCAGCGGUAAAAAUGCGGUGCUCAACGGCGUCGAGCAGUUGAGACUGGCAGUCUUGAGUGGGCGAGAAGUAUGCAGAAUUCGUGGUGUAGCGGUGAAAUGCAUAGAGAUCACGCAGAACACCGAUUGCGAAGGCAGCAUCCCGGAGCAAUACUGACGCUGAGGUGCGAAAGCGUGGGUAUCGAACAGGAUUAGAUACCCCGGUAGUC